CUGAACCAGCCAAGUAGCGUGAAGGAUGAUCUGCCCUAUGGGUUGUAAACUUCUUUUAUACGGGAAUAAAGUGGAGUAUGCAUACUCCUUUGUAUGUACCGUAUGAAUAAGGAUCGGCUAACUCCGUGCCAGCAGCCGCGGUAAUACGGAGGAUCCGAGCGUUAUCCGGAUUUAUUGGGUUUAAAGGGAGCGUACGCGGGUGCUUAAGUCAGUUGUGAAAGUUUGCGG
rnacentral:rRNA from 1 species